UCAGAUUUCUUUCAACAGAGAAUUUUUAUAUGCGUAUCGCGACAACCCUAGCCCGUUUUAGCCAAGCCCGUGCGGAUUUCAAAACAGGGGCGGCGGAUUGCAAAAACUGUAUAGGUUAGAAUUUACCGGCCAUCCAUUCCAUUGGAUAAACGGAUUGCUGUUGCCCUCUAUUCGCUUGAGUCUUCUUCGGAAUACAGAACUAUUGGCAAAUUAUUCGGCAUAUCAAAACCAUGGUAUUCCAAAUUCUAAACGAUUUCUGUUUCAAAGUUAUAUCUGUUAUGAAAAUUCAUGACGGUGUGGAAGGAUUUCAGAAAUUGGGAUUCCCACAAUGUUUUGGAGAGAUGCGUUGUUGUCAUAUCGAAAUACGGCCCAGAGCCCAGGAUGCAACCUAUUCCUACAAUUUCAAAGGAUUGCAUUCCACUAUCCAAUUUGCUUUAGUUAGUUAAAGGUAUUUCCAUGUUUUGUAUCUUAACUAAAAAUUCUUAUACCAUUACAUGUACCGGUUUAUUUACGUUAAUGUUGGAUGCCCAAGACGAUGUCUCGACUCACAAAUUAACAUGUAGAGCAAACUAAAAAACAAUGUCUAAGGAGACACCAUUAUUAAAAGAAAAUGCAAACGCGAUAUGUUGAACUCCGA